AUUUAUGUAGCUCAUAUCAAUAAGAGCAUAACAUUGAAGCUGUUAAGAAAAUCCAAGAUUCAUAAAUA
rnacentral:tRNA from 1 species